GCCCUGGUAGUAUAGUCCGGUCUAGUAUAAGCGGCUGUCGCCCGCUGGAUCGCGGGUUCAAACCCCGGCGGCCGUGGAGCCCCGGCUGAAAAUCCCGCCCAGGGCGCCA
rnacentral:tRNA from 1 species